rnacentral:lncRNA from 1 species
GGUGAUGCUCUGCUCAUCUUCUCCCCAGCGCUUUCAAGGCAAGAGUGGGGAAGGUCUUCAGAAAGGAGGAAGAAGAAGAGGAGGAAGAUGGUGCUGUGGUUUAUCGACACCUCACUCCGAUUCUCCAAAGAAUCAUAUCACAUGAAUAAUUAACCUUCCAGCAAGCCAAAGAACUGAUCUUCAGGGAGCCGAGAGUUCAUGAAAAUUUAAAGACCUGAGCCAGAGCAGGCAAUGUGUUGUUUUCAUGGCAGCUUAGACAUCUUUGAAAACUCAAAAGUUUCAGGGUCUCCCCUAGGGUCCUACUGUGACGUCAGCAUGGGCUUCCUGGAUUCCCGAGUCUUGCUGGGCAGGGUGCUUCUCUGGGAGCUCCGUCCAGGCGAGAAGGCUAGUGCCUACAGGUAAAGCAGCAAGGUGGACAAGAAGCUCUUUUGUGGGAAGUUCUCAGUCAUUGAAUCAGGAAGAAGGCUGGAGGUGGACCUUCGGUGAUAUGGAAUAACCCUCUAGGAUAUCCUCAAAGUAGCAAAUCAAGGCAUCCAUGAAGUGUUUAGUCUUCCUGGUUCCAGGUGCUCCCAAUAGAAUAGCAUCUGCAGGUCCUGACUAGAAGGUGGGAGGUAUCCUGGUGGGCUGCCAGGAGGCAGUGUUGUAGGGAUUGAUGAUCUCUUCCUGGGGCUACAAAAUUAGAUGCAUUUGAUCAUAACCAUCUAACGAUAUAUGCUACUGCUUGUGGAGCCUCGAGUGUGGGGGAAAAAGGACAGUGGGAGAGAACCCAUGUCCUGCCAGAGUUCCGUGCUCUGGGCGGGCAGACUCUGGAGGACUGUGCACGCUUUCCAUGCGGCCCCAGGUGGGCAUCUGGCCGUGUUAAGCCACUGACUCUACAUGGCGGGUGGUGGACACGG